rnacentral:lncRNA from 1 species
CAAAAUAUGAAAGUUACUUAAGAUCUGUUCGAACCGAUUCUAGCCAAAGGACCAUAGGUUUAGUGAUAGUACAUCAAGGUUUUAAAAAUAUGGGAAGGAUAUCUUGUACGGAGAAGGAACCACCUUGCUGUUAGUUCACAUUACAGUGUUUCAAGUGUACAAUCCUAUAUAACGAAAGCACAAACACACCAACCAUUGUUCUGAAUGGAGAUUAUUGCAGCCAUCUUGCACCUAUAAUGAACAUGAAGAUACUCCCUCCGUCCCAUAAUAUACAAAAACGCUAUUAUAUUAUGGGAGGGAGUAGCUUUUAAAUAUCAGAAAAAUGAGUUUCUCUAACCUGCAUAUCUCGAAAAGGAGAUAGGUUUAGAAUCAUAAUAGUUACAUUACUUAGAAGCUCUAAUACGACGUAUCUCUAUGAUUGUUUGGCUAUAUGUUUUAUCUUUGCAGUAAAUACUUUUUAGCAAUCAUGCACGUACAGUAGUUUAUAGGCACAAAUAACUUGGUUACCAUAAAAAGAGAAGAUAUCAACCUUAUGCACAAUUACAAACAAAGAUUAGGAUAGACUACCACAGUAAUCAGUAUGAUAGCUCGGGCAAUGUCUAUCUUCUUUCUGAUAUACUGAUCACAUAAUCUGGGUUUUAUACUCUGAAUCUAAAGAAAUUAAAUAUUGUCAGUUAGCAUAGCAGUAUCUUUAAAACAAGUAUGCAUAUAGAAGGUGCAAUUUCAUACAAGCACAAUACCAGCUUUUUUACUGCCUCUGUAAUCAUCUCCCGAGCUUUAUCCUCCGGUACCUAAGGCAGACAGACCUGAAAUCAGAUCAAGAACAAUAAUCCACUGGAUUGCUCGCAUAGGCAUAUCCCAGUACUUGCUUCCUUGGGAACACCUGCCGUGCAAUGAAGAAACCAAAAAAAUGAAGAAAAGGAGUAAAAGAAAUAAGCAUGCAUGUAACAAAUUUUCUGCUUCAAAUUAUCUGUGAAGAAGAGCCCUACCUCCUGUUUCAUCAUGGAAUAGUCAUCCUCUAUGGAAUAUUUCAUGCCAUUGAGCUACUUGUCGUGACAGACACUUGUUUAGUUUAUAGACUUCCUUGAAAGCAGCUUCGAAACUCCAUGAAUUUUAAGUUAAAAAACAAGCAUUACUAUAUAAACUUACGGGGUUCAUUAACAGCAGGAAUUAAUCA